GCCUACGGCCAUACCACCCUGAGGAACGCCCGAUCUCGUUCUCGAUUCUCGGAAAGCUAAGCAGGGUCGGGCCCGGUUAGUACUUGGAUGGGAGACCGCCUGGGAAUACCGGGUGCUGUAGGCU
rnacentral:rRNA from 1 species